CACGCUCAUGUAUUAGAUUGAAGAGGUUGAUGGCAGAGUACGAGGCGAAAGAGGUAUGUAGAGAUCUCUUUCGCCUCGAACACUGUCAUCAACCUCUUCAUACAUGCCCUCUGUGGAGUC
rnacentral:precursor_RNA from 12 species